CUGUUUCCCCGGCUUCUGGGGGAACAGGAGAAAAAAAGGCCAGUUACCUUCAGCUGGACUGCUAAUCAGAUUCUUGCUGAAGUGAAAACAAGGUAUGGGAAAGCUGGGUUUACCUCUUGAUUUUGAGGCAGAUUCCAGGCUUGGCCAGCCCAGCAUCUGAUUAACUUUCUUUCCCUCACUGGAAAGGGGACCUUUGGAGUUCUCUACCUAAACAAGGCCUUUCUUUAUUCCUCACUGAGGGCUUUUCCUGUACUCUACCCCUCUGUGUGAGAUAGGCCACGCAGCUGCUAUGUCAUUUCACAAAUAAGGACGUGCUGAGAGAAAAACCUCAUUUCUCGGCACCCUAUCACUCGCCUGUGUUUGCACACAGAUCUGGCUUCCUGCCUGCUGCUCAAAGUGUUUCAUGGUCUUUUCCUCACAUCAGAAUGACUCCAAUGCCAACCCAAGGUACCCAGAGCUCUGCACAACCUGCCCAACCCUAACUUCACCUUCUCCCUCUCCACUGGCCUUCCACAAACACACCACCCACUCCUACCUCAGGGUCUUUGCACAUCCCUCUGCUGGGAAUGCCUUCUCCAGACCCUGGCAUGGGUCACUCCACCCAUCAGUGGGUUCAAUGUCAUCUCCUCAGGAGUGCUUCUGUGGCCUUUCCCAUCACACCCCACCCCAGCUCUCCAUCCUCUUGCCUGCAGCACCUGUCCGUUCUGGCCCCUGCAUCAUGCUAUUGCAGCUGGUGCUUGCUGAGUGCUAUUGGUCCACUUUCUGCUAAUGAUCAUGCUGGCAGGAGAUGUCCAGGCCUGAGACUCUCUGAGGGCUAUGUUCCCAUGAUUAGCCCAGCAUGGGGAGGACCUGCGACGUUCAGAGCCAUACCUUUGGUCAUUUCUGCUUCUUCCAACAGAACCUGGGAGAUGUAGUGAAUGCUCCUCAGAUAUUCUGUAUAUGCCUCCUGUGCCCAGGGAAAAGAAAUGGCAGGGAUCAGGGCUACGGAGGUGAAUGAGUCCAUCGCACUUGCCUGGUGCCCCUCCAGGAAAAUGCAAUGCCUGGACCCACAGAAACAGCAGUGCCUGCUUAUCAUGAGAUACACCAGAGACAUCUAGUCUGCUGUAGUUGGCUGGUAAUUGUGCAGUAGUCUAAUGAUAGUAUCCUGGCUCUCUAAGACUUGAAGGAAAAGAUGUCAGCACCUGCAAACAACGCCAAAGCACAUCUUCCUACAAGAUCUGCAGUAGGCACUGGGUGCCGAGACCAGCUGGACACCAGUCCUCCUUUCACUGCGCUUCUUUCUGGCAGAGUAGGGCUGGGAGCAGCCUCAGCAGUUGCUCUCACUUUUUACGCUCUAUAAUUUUUCUUCCUGUGUCAUGACUCAGGAGCCAUUCAUUCAGUGGCUUUAAAUAAGUAUUUCCUGUGAUGUUAAAGAGGGAUGAUAUUGCAAAUCUUAGAAUUACUUCCUGCCUUAGGUUUUGGAAAAUCCCUCUCCUGAUCCUCAGGGUGAGUACCCCUCAGCACACAGGAGUCAGAGGACUAGUGCUGAACACUCUCUGCUGCUCAGGACAUUAAGAACCAUGGCAUGAUGGUUUUUUGUCCUUUUUUUGGCAUCCCAGUUAUCAAGCCACCCGUCUUAAGUCUACUCAGAGGGGAGAACACUGAGGCCCGGAGAGGGCAGUGAGCUGUCCAAGGUCGCAGAGCAGGGCAAGACCUCAGCACCGCCGGGUCCAGCCUUCUUACCCCAAGGUGGGCGUGGGCGCCCCCAAGUGCCGAAGCUCGGGCAGGGCCGAGAGCAACCUCGCCGCCUGGCCGGCUCUGCCCUCGCCCACCCGGCUUGCAGCAGGUUGGGGUCCCUCCCGGCCGUCGCCGCGACCGCCUCCCGCCCCCGCCCGGGGGGCUAACCUCCGCCGGACCCCGCCUCCCCUUGUCUCACCCGGGGUCGGUUGCCAGUGUCCAGCUCGAUGGCCCCGUUAGCCAGCUUCAUAGCGCUCUGCAGCGGCUUCACCGCGCCAUCCCCGGCCGCAGCGGCCAUGGUGCGGGGCGGGGGAGGCAGUGGUGGCGGUCAAGGGGCGGGGCGGGCGGUCGGGAGCCCGGAACUCUGCCUGCGCGGGCAGUGGAACGCCGGAGCGACGGACCGCCGGACGGGGCGGUCCCUGCUGGAAGCACUUCCGUCGUCCUGCUCCGCCGCAGGAGCAAGACUCCCGCGGCAGAAUGGGCCAAAGCGAGAGUGGCGGAACCAUGGCCUGGUAAUCCGAGGCCAGGCCCUGC